rnacentral:rRNA from 1 species
GUAGGUGGGCAAGCGUUGUCCGGAAUUAUUGGGCGUAAAGCGCGCGCAGGUGGGUUCUUUAAGUCUGAUGUGAAAGCCCCCGGGCUCAACCGGGGAGGUCAUUGGAAACUGGGGAACUUGAGUGCAGGAGAGGAAAGUGGAAUUCCACGUGUAGCGGUGAAAUGCGUAGAUAUGUGGAGGAACACCAGUGGCGAAGGCGACUUUCUGGCCUGUAACUGACACUGAGGCGCGAAAGCGUGGGGAGCAAACAGGAUUAGAUACCCUGGUAGUCCACGCCGUAAACGAUGAGUGCUAAGUGUUGGGGGGUUUCCGCCCCUCAGUGCUGCAGCUAACGCAUUAAGCACUCCGCCUGGGGAGUACGGUCGCAAGACUG